rnacentral:rRNA from 1 species
ACGGACUCCUACGGGAGGCAGCAGUGGGGAAUAUUGCACAAUGGGCGCAAGCCUGAUGCAGCCAUGCCGCGUGUAUGAAGAAGGCCUUCGGGUUGUAAAGUACUUUCAGCGGGGAGGAAGGGAGUAAAGUUAAUACCUUUGCUCAUUGACGUUACCCGCAGAAGAAGCACCGGCUAACUCCGUGCCAGCAGCCGCGGUAUAAU